CCUACGGGUGGCAGCAGUGGGGAAUAUUGCGCAAUGGGCGAAAGCCUGACGCAGCGACGCCGCGUGAGGGAUGAAGGUCUUCGGAUCGUAAACCUCUGUCAGCAGGGAAGAACGGUCACUGUGCUAAUCAGCAGUGAAUUGACGGUACCUGCAAAGGAAGCACCGGCUAACUCCGUGCCAGCAGCCGCGGUAAUACGGAGGGUGCGAGCGUUAAUCGGAAUUACUGGGGGUAAAGCGCUCGUAGGCGGUAUGUCAAGUCAAGGGUGAAAUCCCCGCGCUCAACCCCGGCCGGCCGUUGAAACUGGCGUGCUCGAGUUGGAGAGAAGUAUGCGGAAUUCGUGGUGUAGCGGUGAAAUGCAUAGAUAUCACGAAGAACCCCGAUUGCGAAGGCAGCAUACCGGCUCCACACUGACGCUGAGGCACGAAAGCGUGGGUAUCGAACAGGAUUAGAUACCCGGGUAGUC
rnacentral:rRNA from 1 species